CUACAAAUGAAUUGACGGGACCGCACAGCAGCGGAGCGUGUGGUUUAAUUCGUUGCUACACGAGAACCUUACCUGGGUUUGACAUAUAGGUUGUAGGGAACUGAAAAGGGACCGACCCUUCGGGGAGCCUAUACAGGUGCUGCAUGGCUGUCGUCAGCUCGUGUCGUGAGAUGUUCGGUUAAGUCCGCUAACGAGCGCAACCUCGUCGUAUGUUAUAUGUGUCAUACGAGACUGCCGGUAAAAGCCGGGAAGGUGAGGAUGAUGUCAAGUCAGCAUGACCUUUAUAUCCAGGGCUACACACACGCUACAAUGGUCUGUACAAUGGGUAGCCAAGCCGCGAGGCGGAGCCAAUCCUGAAAGCAGGCCUCAGUUCAGAUUGCAGUCUGCAACUCGACUGCAUGAAGCCGGAGUUGCUAGUAACCGCAGGUCAGCAAUACUGCGGUGAAUACGUUCCCGGGUCUU
rnacentral:rRNA from 1 species